rnacentral:rRNA from 1 species
ACGGGGGGAGCAAGCGUUGUUCGGAUUUACUGGGCGUAAAGGGCGCGUAGGCGGUCCGUUAAGUCCGAUGUGAAAUCUCCCGGCUCAACUGGGAGAGGUCAUUGGAUACUGGCGGACUAGAGGGGGGUAGAGGAAAGCAGAAUUCCCGGUGUAGCGGUGAAAUGCGUAGAUAUCAGGAGGAAUACCAGUGGCGAAGGCGGCUUUCUGGGCCUACCCUGACGCUGAGGAGCGAAAGCGUGGGGAGCAAACCGGA